rnacentral:lncRNA from 1 species
AAAAAUCAAUGAAGUGCCUACAUUUAGUUUUUAAAGCUGAAGCAUGAUUGGAUUCCAUUGUCAUAGACUAAAACGAGUGAUUGGCCAGCCUAGCGGGGGUGACCUUGCAGUGGGGUUUAAUAGGUGCUAGAUUCGAAUUCCACAGGUACUAGCUACCAACUUCUACUUAUAUCAUCCAAGAACAUUUUUAUCUUACAUCUAUUGUUUAUAUAGUGGUAGAAGCUCACAUUGAUCAUAUAUAGAUUAGCAGUGAUUGAACAUACAUAUAUUAUGGUAGGAAUUCAAACAUAUUGAGUAAGUACAUAACUGAUUAUACUCAUUUAUGCCACUUUAUAAACACACUUGGAUGUUUUUUAUUGGUUCAUGUGACGAAGCAGCCAUGGGGGCAUCAUGGUAUGAGCUUGAGCUGAUUCAUCCUCCCUUAUUACAACCGCUCCAUGGAACGAUCCACUGCAGCAGUUCAAAACCAACUCAGUCCUUAGUUUAGCUCUGUGUGUGUGUGUGUGUGAGAGAGAGAGAGAGAGAGAGAGAGAGAGAG